rfam:Triticum aestivum genome assembly, contig: Triticum_aestivum_CS42_TGACv1_scaffold_433069_5DL
AUUGUACACCCUCCGUCCCAAAAUUCGUGUCUUAGAUUUGUCUAGAUACGGACGUAUCAAGUCACAUUUCCGUAUCUAGACAAAUCUAAGACAAGAAAUUUGGGACAGAGGGAGUAUAAU